rnacentral:lncRNA from 1 species
AUCUAUGACUUGCAGAUAUGAGAAAAAAAGAUUAAAAGAUCCAACAGAUAUCAAAAAGAUAAACCAAGAAGAUCUUUUACAUCAAGCCCAAGUCCACUUCAGGAGCUAUAAAUAGAGAGUCAGGCCGAGGGGAAAGACACACUAGUCUCAUAGCACUCUCAUUACUACUUAAAGCCAAAGAACUCUUCCCCUCUUUUUUGUUAUUAUAUUUAUCAAUGGCCAUGAGUGGCUAAACCCCUAGUUAGGGUCUUGUAGACCUAAAAAGCAAGCGAUGUAUCAUGUACUUCUCAUAUUUAUCAAUGCAAAAGAAGUCAUUUCCAAGUUUUUCUA